rnacentral:rRNA from 1 species
UACGUAGGGUGCAAGCGUUGUCCGGAAUUAUUGGGCGUAAAAGAGCUCGUAGGCGGUUUGUUGCGUCGGCUGUGAAAUCCCGAGGCUCAACCUCGGGUCUGCAGUCGAUACGAGCAAACUAGAGUGUUGCAGGGGAGACUGGAAUUCCUGGUGUAGCGGUGAAAUGCGCAGAUAUCAGGAGGAACACCGGUGGCGAAGGCGGGUCUCUGGGGCAACAACUGACGCUGAGGAGCGAAAGCGUGGGGAGCGAACAGG